rnacentral:rRNA from 1 species
CCUACGGGAGGCAGCAGUGGGGAAUUUUGGACAAUGGGCGAAAGCCUGAUCCAGCAAUGCCGCGUGAGUGAAGAAGGCCUUCGGGUUGUAAAGCUCUUUUGUCAGGGAAGAAACGGUGAGAGCUAAUAUCUCUUGCUAAUGACGGUACCUGAAGAAUAAGCACCGGCUAACUACGUGCCAGCAGCCGCGGUAAUACGUAGGGUGCAAGCGUUAAUCGGAAUUACUGGGCGUAAAGCGUGCGCAGGCGGUUUUGUAAGUCUGAUGUGAAAUCCCCGGGCUCAACCUGGGAAUUGCAUUGGAGACUGCAAGGCUAGAAUCUGGCAGAGGGGGGUAGAAUUCCACGUGUAGCAGUGAAAUGCGUAGAUAUGUGGAGGAACACCGAUGGCGAAGGCAGCCCCCUGGGUCAAGAUUGACGCUCAUGCACGAAAGCGUGGGGAGCAAACAGGAUUAGAUACCCUGGUAGUCCACGCCCUAAACGAUGUCUACUAGUUGUCGGUCUUAAUUGACUUGGUAACCGCGAGCUACGCGUGAAGUAGACCGCCGUCGGGGAGGUACGGUCGGCGAAGAAGUUAAACGUUAACGUAACGUAGUAAGUUAGUACGGACGUAGAGACGUUAGCCGACGGACGACGACGAGGGAGGAGGG